UACGAAGGGGGCUAGCGUUGUUCGGAAUUACUGGGCGUAAAGCGCGCGCAGGCGGUCUUCCAAGUCAGUGGUGAAAGCCCGGAGCUCAACUCCGGAACUGCCAUUGAAACUGUAAGACUUGAGGAUGAGAGAGGUGAGUGGAAUCCCAGUGUAGAGGUGAAAUUCGUAGAUAUUGGGAAGAACACCGGUGGCGAAGGCGGCUCACUGGC
rnacentral:rRNA from 1 species